rnacentral:tRNA from 1 species
UAGAAAAUAGUGUAAGUAGUAAAACUAAGAAAUUUGAAUUCUUAGAUAUAAGUGCAAUUCUUAUUUUUCUAA